UGUAGUCAUAUGGCUUGUCUCAAAGAUUAAGCCAUGCAUGUCUAAGUAUAAGCAAUUAUACCGUGAAACUGCGAAUGGCUCAUUAAAUCAGUUAUCGUUUAUUUGAUAGUACCUUACUACUUGGAUAACCGUGGUAAUUCUAGAGCUAAUACAUGCUGAAAACCCCAACUUCGGGAGGGGUGUAUUUAUUAGAUAAAAAACCAACGCCCUUCGGGGCUUCUUGGUGAUUCAUGAUAACUUUACGGAUCGCAUGGCCUUGCGCCGGCGACGGUUCAUUCAAAUUUCUGCCCUAUCAACUUUCGAUGGUAAGGUAUUGGCUUACCAUGGUUUCAACGGGUAACGGGGAAUUAGGGUUCGAUUCCGGAGAGGGAGCCUGAGAAACGGCUACCACAUCCAAGGAAGGCAGCAGGCGCGCAAAUUACCCAAUCCCGACACGGGGAGGUAGUGACAAUAAAUACUGAUACAGGGCUCUUUUGGGUCUUGUAAUUGGAAUGAGUACAAUUUAAACCUCUAACGAGGAACAAUUGGAGGGCAAGUCUGGUGCCAGCAGCCGCGGUAAUUCCAGCUCCAAUAGCGUAUAUUAAAGUUGUUGCAGUUAAAAAGCUCGUAGUUGAACCUUGGGUCUGGCUGGCAGGUCCGCCUCACCGCGUGUACUUGUCCGGCCGGGC
rnacentral:rRNA from 1 species